GACGAACGCUGGCGGCGUGCUUAACACAUGCAAGUCGAACGCUGAAGCUCAGCUUUUGUUGGGUGGAUGAGUGGCGAACGGGUGAGUAACACGUGAGUAACCUGCCUCCUUCUUUGGGAUAACGCCCGGAAACGGGUGCUAAUACUGGAUAUUCACUGGUCUUCGCAUGGGGGUUGGUGGAAAGGGUUUUUCUGGUGGGGGAUGGGCUCGCGGCCUAUCAGCUUGUUGGUGGGGUGAUGGCCUACCAAGGCUUUGACGGGUAGCCGGCCUGAGAGGGUGACCGGUCACAUUGGGACUGAGAUACGGCCCAGACUCCUACGGGAGGCAGCAGUGGGGAAUAUUGCACAAUGGGCGCAAGCCUGAUGCAGCGACGCCGCGUGAGGGAUGGAGGCCUUCGGGCUGUGAACCUCUUUCGCUCAUGGUCAAGCCGCAACAAUGGUUGUGGUGAGGGUAGUGGGUAAAGAAGCGCCGGCUAACUACGUG
rnacentral:rRNA from 1 species